AUGAAGUUUUGCUUGAGAUUCAUGAAUCUGAAAAAUUGUGAUGAAGAAAUUUAUGAAGUGAUUCAUGAUAGCACCUUGAAUGAAAAGCAUGAUCGCAAUAAUUUUACUAUAAAUUCUAUUAAUGUCAAUUGUGCUAAUAAUAUACAAAACCCCAAGCUUGGGGAUGCUUGUUUUGUUAUGUCUGCUACUUAUUACAAUGAUCAUGAUUGGGGUGAUAAUGUUUCUAAUGAUCUUGAAAAUUUAUUUAAGCCUCAUGAUGAAUAUGUUUGCGAUAAUAUUGAAAGUGGGUUUAGAAGAGUGUCAACUUUAUUUAAAAAUAAUCCCACAUAUUUGAAGAGUGUUCAAUCUUAUGAAUGUUUUGAUGAAAGUGGGUUUGGAGAGGUCAUGUUAUUUGAUGAUCCCACUAUUUUGGAAGAGUGUCAACUUUGCAUGCAUGUGAAUCAUAAAGAGAAAAAUUUAUAUGAUAGUUAUAUUAUUGAAUUUAAUUAUGAUCCUACAUAUAAUUAUUAUGAGAGAGGAAAAUAUGAUUGUAGAAAUUUUCAUGUUAUUAAAUUUCCUCUCGUUGUGUUGAGAUUGUCAAUGCUUUGUCCCUCUUCUUUGCAUAUGUUAGAUGUUUCCUGUCCUGAUAAUUUGUUUGCUUAUAAAAUUCCUAUGCAUAGUAAGUAUGUUAGACUUAAAUGUGUUUGUCAUAUGUUUCAUGAAGCUCUCUUUGUGUUUCAAUUCUUAUCUUUCAUGUGA
rnacentral:rRNA from 1 species